UGCCCGAUAGUAUAAAGGUAGUACGACGGUUUUUGGUACCGUUUGUCUAGGUUCGAAUCCUGGUCGGGCAACCA
rnacentral:tRNA from 1 species